CUUCAUUGACAAAAACUGCUUUUCUUUGAAAAAUAAGGACAUUUCUAAGUGACCCCAAACUUUUGAACGGUAAUGUAUAUAAAUGAGCUUCUUUUUUAUCCAAUGUUAACUUUUUAUUACUGUUGUGUAUUAGCAGCUUUCCUCUAGGACACUCAGCCUGUACAUUCUGGUUAAGCAAUGGAAAUCAGCCUUGCGGCUGUAAUUGGGUUCAUUUACAUUUUAAUUUAAAGUGUUCAUUAAUGUACAUUGUCCCUCUCAAAUAAAUAAAAAUGUGAAACUUGAGACAGGUGAGGGGAGAGGAGAAAGGUGAGGGGAGGCAGGUGAGAAAGGUGAGGUUAACCAGGGGAGACAGGUGAGGUGAACCAGGGGAGACAGGUGAGGUGAAUCAGGGGAGACAGGUGAGACAGGUGAGGUGAAUCAGGGGAAACAGGUGAGGUGAAUCAGGGGAGACAGGUGAGACAGGUGAGACAGGUGAGGUGAAUC